rnacentral:lncRNA from 1 species
GGUUAUUAAAUUUGGAAUGGUAUAACUGUAAUUUUCAAGGUAUGGGGUACCCCACAUAUGAAAAGUCUCCCCAGAUUAGAGGUUAGAGGUGGCCAUCCUGUGCCAUUUCUAAAGUCUGCUCUCAAAAGCCUGACUCUGUCCUGUAUUUGCCAACCUCCAUUUGGUGGGAUUGUGUAUGGGGGAGAGGAGGGGUGGAUUCAUGCUUUUUGUGUUAGCCUGUAUGAAAAUUCACCUUCACAAAGUCAGUCCUUUUCUUCUUCUUCAGCUGUCAGUCUGUGGGAGCAUUCAUUCUCAUGCCUGCAAGUUCAUAUAUUUAUCCCUCCCAGACUGUCGCCAUCCACAAAAUAAAACCAGCUCGUGAAAAAGCUGAAAUAAUAUGGGAUCCAGCAGAACUAGGCCUGGCCACCUCUGGCCCAGAUCUAACAUUUCCAGCUAUCUUUGCCUAGCUGCAUGCUUGAGGUAACAUUUUUCACGGGCUAAAUCAGUGCAUGUGUGUUGUGUCCACAUUCACAACUAUUUCUGUACUUGGUUGAAAGUUCUCAGAAUGACUCUUAGACUGUCUUGUUUACAAAAAUACCAGAUAAAUAUACACAAAUGCUAGUUGUUUUCCUUUUUUUAAGGUUAUAUUUGGCCUUAAACUGAGGACAAAGAAGACACAGACUUUAGCCUGUGGUUGAGUCCUCCAGCCCUCACAGCAGCUUGUGCUCCCAC